rnacentral:lncRNA from 1 species
GCGGAUAUUCGUCAUCUAUACUAUUAUACUAAGGUUUAGAUGGGCACAAUCACCCUCUCCCACGAAUAGAUGACGGAUAUCCGCCAUCUAUAAACUUAGGGAACCGCCUGCUGUACUUUAGAUGGCGGAUAUCCGCCAUCUAAUGUUACAAGGAUAGUCGGCGGACAUCCGCCAUCAAUGAAAUUAACCGUCAUCAAUGAAUUGGCGCCAAACUUUUUCCGCGCCAUAUUUUAGAUUGCGGAUUUCCGUCAUCUAAAACUUUUCAGUUCCCGCGAAAAUUUUCAGAUUAGAUGGCGGAGAUGGAGAUGGAUAAUAGAUGGCGGUCUUUAGAUGACGGUUAUGGGAUUUUAAUGGCGGUGUCCAAGAUGAUGGUCUUUAUUUAUAUUCUGACAACUGUUUUUUAUUUUAAUGUUUUAUAUCACAUCAUCUUUUUUUAAUUUGCAACAAUUUUUUUAAAAUAAUAACUUGAUGGUUCUUUCACAACUUGGUAAUGGUACAUUCGACUAUUUACACAAACGUCAAAAAUAACUAUCAGACUAUACAUAUAUAGAAGUAAAUUUGCAUUUAAAUAAUUCACAUUUACACAUAAAAAACCUCAUAAGGACUAGCAGACAAAACACAAAUCAUAUAAGGACAAACAAAGAAAUAACCCCAUAUGGGUUGUAAACAAAUAAUCCUAUAUAAAGGAUUAGUGUAACAAUUUAUAUUUUUCAAUUUAUACAACUUUCAACAUUAACAAUAAUGAAACUCUUCCUCGUCCUACUUUUCUUUCUUUAUUGUUCUUCUUGAUUUUGAAUGACAAUGAUCUUGAAAUUAAAAAAAAAGUGUAAAAAAUCGUGAUCUUCUUGAAAAGAUAUGUUGAAAGACUGUCUUAACCUUAUAAGAAAUAAUCCAUUGAUAUUUUGGAAAUAUGAAUGGAAUAGUCAUUGGACUUGCUCCCCAUGGUAUAAUAAUUCAAAAAUGUACUUUCAAAAGAUAUUAUCUAUGAAAAUUCAUUUUAACAUUUUCAAUGUUUUAAAAGCAAAGGUAAAUCUUAGUGUAUUAUUUUCAAUAUUUAUUGUUAAUAAUAUACAAGUUAGUAUUAUUAAUAUUUAUUUUUUUAGGUAUUUCACCAAGUGGGAACUUCAUUCUAAAAGAUAGAUUUCUAUCGACAAUAUCAACUCUUCCAGGUUCAGCAAUUUUAAUAUGUGAAAGAAAAAGGAAUAAAAAUAAUGUAUUUGAAGAUUAUAUUUCAGAGAUACGUACGUAUAUGCUUAAAUAUAAAUCUACGCCUCACAGUGUGUGUAUCAAAAAACACAUGUGAGAACAGUUUGAAAUUUAACUUCGGAUAAUACUACAUCAUAAAACCAUCAUUUAUUUACUAUGUAAUAAAUAAAUCACAUGGUUAUUGGAGAUCGAAACAGCAUUCGUAGUGUAGGACGAGAACAUGGAAGAGAAGGAUUGUUUAGUUCCGGUCAUGAUAAAGGAUCGAUGUGAGGAAGAUCGACAAUAGUUGUUUCGAUAAAUAAUCGAGACAGUUAUUAU